AUUGAACGCUGGCGGCAUGCCUAACACAUGCAAGUCGAACGGCAGCACAGCAGUAGCAAUACUGUGGGUGGCGAGUGGCGGACGGGUGAGGAAUACGUCGGAAUCUGCCCAGUCGUGGGGGAUAACUAGCCGAAAGGUUAGCUAAUACCGCAUACGACCGAGAGGUGAAAGCGGGGGACCGCAAGGCCUCGCGCGAUUGGAUGAGCCGACGUCGGAUUAGCUAGUUGGCGGGGUAAAGGCCCACCAAGGCGACGAUCCGUAGCUGGUCUGAGAGGAUGAUCAGCCACACUGGAACUGAGACACGGUCCAGACUCCUACGGGAGGCAGCAGUGGGGAAUAUUGGACAAUGGGGGCAACCCUGAUCCAGCCAUGCCGCGUGUGUGAAGAAGGC
rnacentral:rRNA from 1 species